rnacentral:rRNA from 1 species
AAAGCUUGGCGAUACAGGGUGAUAGCCCCGUAACCGACGCUUCAUCGAGCGUGAAAUCGAGUAGGGCGGGACACGUGAUAUCCUGUCUGAAUAUGGGGGGACCAUCCUCCAAGGCUAAAUACUCCUGACUGACCGAUAGUGAACCAGUACCGUGAGGGAAAGGCGAAAAGAACCCCUGUGAGGGGAGUGAAAUAGAACCUGAAACCGUGUACGUACAAGCAGUAGGAGCACCUUCGUGGUGUGACUGCGUACCUUUUGUAUAAUGGGUCAGCGACUUAUAUUCAGUGGCAAGGUUAACCGUAUAGGGGAGCCGUAGCGAAAGCGAGUCUUAACUGGGCGCUUAGUCUCUGGAUAUAGACCCGAAACCGGGUGAUCUAGCCAUGGGCAGGUUGAAGGUUGAGUAACAUCAACUGGAGGACCGAACCGACUAAUGUUGAAAAAUUAGCGGAUGACUUGUGGCUAGGGGUGAAAGGCCAAUCAAACUCGGAGAUAGCUGGUUCUCCCCGAAAGCUAUUUAGGUAGCGCCUCGGACGAAUACUACUGGGGGUAGAGCACUGUUAAGGCUAGGGGGUCAUCCCGACUUACCAACCCUUUGCAAACUCCGAAUACCAGUAAGUACUAUCCGGGAGACACACGGCGGGUGCUAACGUCCGUCGUGGAGAGGGAAACAACCCAGACCGCCAGCUAAGGUCCCAAAGUAUUGCUAAGUGGGAAACGAUGUGGGAAGGCUCAGACAGCUAGGAUGUUGGCUUAGAAGCAGCCAUCAUUUAAAGAAAGCGUAAUAGCUCACUAGUCGAGUCGGCCUGCGCGGAAGAUGUAACGGGGCUAAGCAAUACACCGAAGCUGCGGCAAUAUCUUUUAGAUAUUGGGUAGGGGAGCG